UUUACAAAGGGUCUGUAAUCUGGCAAAAUAUCUAAUCGCGUAGGUCUGAACAUAUCAGACCCAUUCUUAUAAAGAAAGGAUGUCCAAGCGUG
rfam:Prochlorococcus marinus str. AS9601, complete genome.